AAUCAACGCUGGCGGCGUGCCUCAGACAUGCAAGUCGAACGAGAAGUCCCCUUCGGGGGAUGGAUAGUGGCGCACGGGUGAGUAACACGUGGGUAAUUUACCUUUGGGUGGGGAACAACAGCCGGAAACGGCUGCUAAUACCGCAUAAUGCAGCGGCUCCUCAUGGAGACAGUUGUUAAAGCGGGGGAUCGCAAGACCUCGCGCCUGAAGAGAAGCCCGCGGCAGAUUAGCUAGUUGGUAAGGUAAUGGCUUACCAAGGCGACGAUCUGUAACCGGCCUGAGAGGGCGGUCGGUCACACUGACACUGACAUACGGGGUCAGACUCCUACGGGAGGCAGCAGUC
rnacentral:rRNA from 1 species